ACACACACACACACACACACACACACACACACACACACACACACACACACACACACACACACACACACACACACACACACACACAGAGUUCUCCAGCCCCAGUGGAGAGAAGGAAGGACAGGAACACAGUCUGGUUAUAAAGGGGCCUUUUCUAACCCUUUGGUACUGUUGGACCCACUGAUUGAUGAACAGUUCAUAGACAAUGAUGGGAUGUGACAUUUUGUCUGGGGAUAGGAAUAAAGUCCAACUGGUUGGUGCUUGAUUCAGGCCCAUGAUGGGAGACAGUUCUGAUGGGGAAUCCUUUUUCUCCAGCAGAGGAGCCUGAUUGGAAAUAUGCAGUAUAUUGGGCUCUAUUUGGCUAAGAGAUAAAAGGGAGAUAUUUUUAGUUACUGAAUAUUAACAAAUCAAAGAUAUUCCUAAAAUUAUGAGAAAUAAUAAUGUAAUGAUUACUCCCACCAUUAAAAUGGAGAUAAUCCUGUGUAAAGCAGUUGAAAUUUAUGAGUGAAAUGUCCUAUGUAUUUUUAUUAUUGUUGUUGUUAUUUCCUUAGAAAAAGAAACCUAUGGAAAAGCCCAUUUGGAGUGCAGUCUGUUUACCUGAAAAUUCUGUACAAAUAUUAAGGGAUUUCAGAGAAAAUUAUGUGGGGUUCCCAAUCACUCUAGUGGAUGUUGUACAUGGAUAUAUGAAGCUUGAAUGUUACCUUAAUUUAUGAAUCCUCAUAACUUCCCUGUGAUUAAAACCCCUGUGGAAUAUCAAAUCUGACUAUACCAAUUGCUAACAUGUGAUUGAUGGAUAGGCGAUCUGUUCUUGCAAACCGGGAUACGAGGUGGCAGCUGUUGAGAAUGGUGGGGACACUUGUGUGGACACAGAAACUAUACGAGAUGGCAGUUACUGCAUCCUCAGGCCCUGCCCAGAGGGAUAUGAAUGCCGAGAUAUGGAACACUAUCAGUUUGAUUGCAUCAGAGGAGCCCUUAUUGUGCCAAACUGAAUGCAGUUUUCCAUUGUUCCAAACUGGAUUCUGCAUAUUCACAGUACGUUCUUGUAAAAUUACUAUUAAAAAUUGGAGCUGACUGUAAAACCUUGAUUGGAAAAAAGAUGAAAUUCUCACAAGUUUUCCCCCAACCCCAUUUUCUUAUUAGUUCUAUUAAACGUGUACUCUGUGCAAACAUAACUGGCAUGUUACAAACAUGAGUGUCAUCCUUCCCUUGUGAGUAAAGUUACACGCAUGCUUAAGUAUUUGUGGAAUCAGGACCACAGAGUAUAAUCCUAUACAUCAUGUCAAUCUGAUUCACAUGACUUACACAACUUAGACUGAUAAGAACAGGCCUCGUGGAGCAAAAUCCUGCAGCUUUCCCAUUUACUUCAGUAGGAAUUUUGCCUGAGUAAGAUGCCAGAAUUUUGUCUCUCCGAACAAGUCUGCAUUCUUUACUCAGAGAGCUUACGGAAAGAGAGGAUAGAUUCCCUGUCACACUGUAAAUCAGGAAUAAUUCAAUUGAACUCAAUACCAGUGAGAGUGAGAUCAGAAAACUGACACCUGACAAUGACAAAUUUACCAUGUAGAGUUAUGUUUGGGGGGGCCUGAUUAUGUAGUCCUUACUCAAGUAUGGCUACUGCUUGAAUGGCAGUCUUGCCUGAGUGAAAAUGGUAGAAUCAGUCCUAUGAUAUUUGUAUAUAUUGUACUGUCUUUUCAUCAUAGCAUAACUAUUAUAAAAAAAUUCAAUAAGCUUAUAAGAAGCAAAUAUUAUCUGUGACACACAAAAAUAAACAACAAAUUUGUUUUUACUAAUUUUGGGCC
ensembl:lncRNA